rnacentral:rRNA from 1 species
UAGAGACUCAGAGCUGCAUAUCAAUAAGCGGAGGAAAAGAAACUAACAAGGAUUCCCUUAGUAACGGCGAGUGAAGCGGGAAGAGCUCAAAUUUGAAAUCUUCAAGGUUUUACCUUGACGAAUUGUAGUUUAAAGAAGUGUUUUCUGUUGAAGUUUCGGUAAAAGUUCUUUGGAAUAGGACAUCAUAGAGGGUGAGAAUCCCGUAUUUGACCGUUAUUUUCAGCUGUGUGAUACACUUUCAAAGAGUCGGAUUGUUUGGGAAUGCAGUCCAAAAUGGGUGGUAAACUUCAUCUAAAGCUAAAUAUCGGCGAGAGACCGAUAGCGAACAAGUACCGUGAGGGAAAGAUGAAAAGAACUUUGAAAAGAGAGUUAAACAGUACGUGAAAUUGUCAAAAGGGAAGCGUUUGACACCAGUGUUGUUUUUCCAAAAAUCAAUUACGAAUGGCUUGAUUUUGUGUUGUAUUGACCUUAUUAGCUUUCUGCACUUUUUUCGAGUCUUUCUUAAUGCACUUUUUGGUUAACAAGUCAACAUCAAUUUCUUUUGUUGUAAAAGAGUAUUCGGAAGGUGGCUUUCUUUUCGGAGAAAGUGUUUAUAGCCCUAUACUUCUACAAUCGGAGAGAUUGAGGUCUGCAGCGUAGAUCCUUCGGGGUUAGAUACACUUGUGCUAAGUUGUAGCUUUUCAUAGACAACUUGUUGACUAUGUUUAGUCAUGCGGCUUACUCGCUUGUGCUAUUUUACCUACGCUUAGGAUGUUGACGAUCAGCUGAGCGCG